rnacentral:rRNA from 1 species
GCAUAACGCGAAGAACCUUACCCACCUUUGACAUGUACGGAAUCCUUUAGAGAUAGAGGAGUGCUCGAAAGAGAGCCGUAACACAGGUGCUGCAUGGCUGUCGUCAGCUCGUGUCGUGAGAUGUUGGGUUAAGUCCCGCAACGAGCGCAACCCUUGCCAUUAGUUGCUACGAAAGGGCACUCUAAUGGGACUGCCGGUGACAAACCGGAGGAAGGUGGGGAUGACGUCAAGUCCUCAUGGCCCUUAUAGGUGGGGCUACACACGUCAUACAAUGGCUGGUACAAAGGGUUGCCAACCCGCGAGGGGGAGCUAAUCCCAUAAAGCCAGUCGUAGUCCGGAUCGCAGUCUGCAACUCGACUGCGUGAAGUCGGAAUCGCUAGUAAUCGUGGAUCAGAAUGUCACGGUGAAUACGUUCCCGGGUC